GCGUGCCUAAUACAUGUAAGUCGAGCGCAGGAAGUCAUCCGAACCCUUCGGGGGGACGUUGACGGAAUGAGCGGCGGACGGGUGAGUAACACGUAAAGAACCUGCCCUCAGGUCUGGGAUAACCACGAGAAAUCGGGGCUAAUACCGGAUGGGUCAUCGGACCGCAUGGUCCGAGGAUGAAAGGCGCUUCGGCGUCGCCUGGGGAUGGCUUUGCGGUGCAUUAGCUAGUUGGUGGGGUAAUGGCCCACCAAGGCGACGAUGCAUAGCCGACCUGAGAGGGUGAUCGGCCACACUGGGACUGAGACACGGCCCAGACUCCUACGGGAGGCAGCAGUAGGGAAUCUUCCACAAUGGACGAAAGUCUGAUGGAGCAACGCCGCG
rnacentral:rRNA from 1 species